AAAUUGAAGAGUUUGAUCAUGGCUCAGAUUGAACGCUGGCGGCAGGCCUAACACAUGCAAGUCGAGCGGUAGCACAGAGAGCUUGCUCUCGGGUGACGAGCGGCGGACGGGUGAGUAAUGUCUGGGAAACUGCCUGAUGGAGGGGGAUAACUACUGGAAACGGUAGCUAAUACCGCAUAACGUCGCAAGACCAAAGUGGGGGACCUUCGGGCCUCAUGCCAUCAGAUGUGCCCAGAUGGGAUUAGCUAGUAGGUGGGGUAACGGCUCACCUAGGCGACGAUCCCUAGCUGGUCUGAGAGGAUGACCAGCCACACUGGAACUGAGACACGGUCCAGACUCCUACGGGAGGCAGCAGUGGGGAAUAUUGCACAAUGGGCGCAAGCCUGAUGCAGCCAUGCCGCGUGUGUGAAGAAGGCCUUCGGGUUGUAAAGCACUUUCAGCGGGGAGGAAGGCGUUAAGGUUAAUAACCUUGGCGAUUGACGUUACCCGCAGAAGAAGCACCGGCUAACUCCGUGCCAGCAGCCGCGGUAAUACGGAGGGUGCAAGCGUUAAUCGGAAUUACUGGGCGUAAAGCGCACGCAGGCGGUCUGUCAAGUCGGAUGUGAAAUCCCCGGGCUCAACCUGGGAACUGCAUUCGAAACUGGCAGGCUAGAGUCUUGUAGAGGGGGUAGAAUUCCAGGUGUAGCGGUGAAAUGCGUAGAGAUCUGGAGGAAUACCGGUGGCGAAGGCGGCCCCUGGACAAAGACUGACGCUCAGGUGCGAAAGCGUGGGGAGCAAACAGGAUUAGAUACCCUGGUAGUCCACGCCGUAAACGAUGUCGAUUUGGAGGUUGUGCCCUUGAGGCGUGGCUUCCGGAGCUAACGCGUUAAAUCGACCGCCUGGGGAGUACGGCCGCAAGGUUAAAACUCAAAUGAAUUGACGGGGGCCCGCACAAGCGGUGGAGCAUGUGGUUUAAUUCGAUGCAACGCGAAGAACCUUACCUGGUCUUGACAUCCACAGAACUUAGCAGAGAUGCUUUGGUGCCUUCGGGAACUGUGAGACAGGUGCUGCAUGGCUGUCGUCAGCUCGUGUUGUGAAAUGUUGGGUUAAGUCCCGCAACGAGCGCAACCCUUAUCCUUUGUUGCCAGCGGUCCGGCCGGGAACUCAAAGGAGACUGCCAGUGAUAAACUGGAGGAAGGUGGGGAUGACGUCAAGUCAUCAUGGCCCUUACGACCAGGGCUACACACGUGCUACAAUGGCAUAUACAAAGAGAAGCGACCUCGCGAGAGCAAGCGGACCUCAUAAAGUAUGUCGUAGUCCGGAUUGGAGUCUGCAACUCGACUCCAUGAAGUCGGAAUCGCUAGUAAUCGUAGAUCAGAAUGCUACGGUGAAUACGUUCCCGGGCCUUGUACACACCGCCCGUCACACCAUGGGAGUGGGUUGCAAAAGAAGUAGGUAGCUUAACCUUCGGGAGGGCGCUUACCACUUUGUGAUUCAUGACUGGGGUGAAGUCGUAACAAGGUAACCGUAGGGGAACCUGCGGUUGGAUCACCUCCUUA
rnacentral:rRNA from 1 species